rnacentral:miRNA from 1 species
UCCCACAGAAAUCCUAUUGGCUUGCCAUUGCUUUUGUCCCUUUUACAGUUAAGAAAACUGAGAUACGUCAUGGCUUAGCCUCUGGUCUA